AUUCGGCCAUUACGGCCGGGGAUGAACGCUGGCGGUAUGCUUAACACAUGCAAGUUGAACGAAGAUAAUAGUUCAUUGAAUUAUAAUACUUAGUAGCGGACGGGUGAGUAACGCGUAAGAAUCUACCUUUAGGAAAAGGAUAACAACUGGAAACGGUUGCUAAUACUUUAUAUGCUGAGAAGUUAAAUAGGUUACUGCCUAAAGAUGAGCUUGCGUCUGAUUAGCUAGUUGGUAAGGUAAAGGCUUACCAAGGCAAUUAUCAGUAGUUGGUCUGAGAGGAUGAUCGGCCACACUGGGACUGAGACACGGCCCAGACUCCUACGGGAGGCAGCAGUGAGGAAUUUUUCGCAAUGGGCGCAAGCCUGACGAAGCAAUACCGCGUGAAGGAUGAAGGCCUGCGGGUUGUAAACUUCUUUUAUUAGAGAAGAUAAUGACGGUAUCUAAUGAAUAAGCAUCGGCUAAAUAUGUGCCAGCAGCCGCGGUAAGACAUAUGAUGCAAGCGUUAUCCGGAAUGAUUGGGCGUAAAGCGUCUGUAGGUUGUUUAAAAAGUCAACUGUCAAAAACUAAAGCUCAACUUUAGGCAGGCAGUUGAAACUUUUAGACUAGAGUAUGGCAGAGGUAGAGGGAAUUACUGGUGUAACGGUGAAAUGUGCAGAUAUCAGUAAGAACACCAAUGGCGAAAGCACUCUACUGGACCAAAACUGACACUCAGAGACGAAAGCUAGGGGAGCGAAUAGGAUUAGAUACCCUAGUAGUCCUAGCUGUAAACGAUGGAAACUAAAUA
rnacentral:rRNA from 1 species